UGGCUCAGAUGGCAAAAGCAUCUGCCUGCAAUGCGGGAGACCCAGGUUCUAUUCCUGG
rnacentral:tRNA from 1 species